rnacentral:misc_RNA from 1 species
AACGCACCUUGCGCUCCUUGGUAUUCCGAGGAGCAUGCCUGUUUGAGUGUCAUGAAAUCUUCAACCUACAAACUUCUUAUGGGGCUUGUAGGCUUGGACUUGGAGGCUUGUCGGACUACUAUAUAGGUCGGCUCCUCUUAAAUGCAUUAGCUUGGUUCCUUGCGGAUCGGCUUGUCGGUGUGAUAAUGUCUACGCCGCGACCGUGAAGCGUGUUUGGGCGAGCUUCUAAUCGUCUCGUUAGAGAGACAACCUUUAUGACCUCUGACCUCAAAUCAGGUAGGACUACCCGCUGAACUUAA